UUCCCUAAAUUUCAUUCACUAACACCUAAUACCCGCCAACCCAAAAUCUCCCAAAAUUUCCCAAAAUCUCACCCUUCUUCGUAUUUUCUUCACUCUAUUUAGCAAUAUAAUGUUCUUCACCAAAAUUUCAGCUGCAAACUUCCUUUUCCAUUGUUACUUAUCUCAAUUCAGUCUUAUUGUACAUUAGAUUUUCGCAAUUUCUCUCAAAUUUCAACUUCAAAGCGCGAACUCUAUUUAGAGUUUGAAUCUUCACUCCAUUUUAGGCGACUCCGUUCUUGCUAUUUCAGCUCAAAUUUGGAAAUUCUAGGAAUCAGCUCAGAUUCAGGUACUUUAUUGUAGAAGAUGGUUUCAGUUUUAUGCCGCCACUCUAAGGCUAAGGGGAAAUCUGCAACUAGUCCUUCUCAUGCAUCAAAUAGGGACUUGUUUGACAUGCGUAUACCUAGACAUCCAGCAGCUUCAGCAAUUCGGUUUUUUGCUUCUUUUGACAUGCAACUACUA